AUACUCAGUGAUUGCUCGUCCAGUAUACUAGCAUGUUAGUUGAUAAAAAUAUCAACUACACUGACUAUGAUUUUCCCGUACGACCUCCAUUCUUACUUUGUGUCAUAUUAUUUUUAUAAUUGCCAUCUACAUUCAAAUUCAUAAUCAAUAGAACACACAAUUAGUACAUCUUGUUUUAUCAGUUCCUGUAUAUUCAAACAUAAAAGCAAGUGAGACAAAAAAAAAAAAAAACUAUACAAAAAAUAUUACAAAUAUAACACCACACUAGUUUUAAAACUAAUUCAACCAUGGUUUGAAAAAGUAUUUGCUAUAAUUAUUUACCGCGUUCAUUAUGGAACAGAAUGUUAAUUUUGAAAAUUUAAAACGAAAUGAAAUAAGUUACCUUAGCAUUUUGUAUGUUAUCUUAACAUUUUGCAAUUGACCUUCACAUUUUGCAAGUGACCUUUACAUUUUAAUCUUUGUGUCUAUGUACUGCAACGAGAUAAAUAAUGGAAAUAUAUUUGAUCUUUCAUAAGUCUCU
rnacentral:lncRNA from 1 species